rnacentral:rRNA from 1 species
GUGAACGCUGGCGGUAGGCCUAACACAUGCAAGUCGAACGGCAGCACAGUAAGAGCUUGCUCUUACGGGUGGCGAGUGGCGGACGGGUGAGGAAUACAUCGGAAUCUACUUUUUCGUGGGGGAUAACGUAGGGAAACUUACGCUAAUACCGCAUACGACCUACGGGUGAAAGCAGGGGAUCUUCGGACCUUGCGCGAUUGAAUGAGCCGAUGUCGGAUUAGCUAGUUGGCGGGGUAAAGGCCCACCAAGGCGACGAUCCGUAGCUGGUCUGAGAGGAUGAUCAGCCACACUGGAACUGAGACACUGUCCAGACUCCUACGGGAGGCAGCAGUGGGGAAUAUUGGACAAUGGGCGCAAGCCUGAUCCAGCCAUACCGCGUGGGUGAAGAAGGCCUUCGGGUUGUAAAGCCCUUUUGUUGGGAAAGAAAAGCAGCAGGUUAAUACCCCGCUGUUCUGACGGUACCCAAAGAAUAAGCACCGGCUAACUUCGUG